rnacentral:rRNA from 1 species
GCCUUAGUAGCGGCGAGUGAAGCGGCAAAAGCUCAAAUUUGAAAUCUGGCGCCUUCGGUGUCCGAGUUGUAAUUUGAAGAUUGUAACCUUGGGGUUGGCUCUUGUCUAUGUUUCUUGGAACAGGACGUCACAGAGGGUGAGAAUCCCGUGCGAUGAGAUGCCCAAUUCUAUGUAAGGUGCUUUCGAAGAGUCGAGUUGUUUGGGAAUGCAGCUCUAAGUGGGUGGUAAAUUCCAUCUAAAGCUAAAUAUUGGCGAGAGACCGAUAGCGAACAAGUACAGUGAUGGAAAGAUGAAAAGAACUUUGAAAAGAGAGUGAAAAAGUACGUGAAAUUGUUGAAAGGGAAGGGUUUGAGAUCAGACUCGAUAUUUUGUGAGCCUUGCCUUCGUGGCGGGGUGACCCGCAGCUUAUCGGGCCAGCAUCGGUUUGGGCGGUAGGAUAAUGGCGUAGGAAUGUGACUUUACUUCGGUGAAGUGUUAUAGCCUGCGUUGAUGCUGCCUGCCUAGACCGAGGACUGCGAUUUUAUCAAGGAUGCUGGCAUAAUGAUCCCAAACCGC